rnacentral:rRNA from 1 species
AUACGGAGGAUCCGAGCGUUAUCCGGAUUUAUUGGGUUUAAAGGGUGCGCAGGCGGGAGAUUAAGUCGGCGGUGAAAUUUUUCAGCUCAACUUGAAAAGUGCCUUCGAAACUGGUUUUCUUGAGUGUAGAUGAAGUAGGCGGAAUUUGUGGGGUAGCGGUGAAAUGCAUAGAUAUCACGAGGAACUCCGAUUGCGCAGGCAGCUUACUAAACUACUACUGACGCUCAGGCACGAAGGCGUGGGGAUCAAACGGGAUUAGAUACCCUGGUAGUCCACGCAGUAAACGAUGAUUACUAGCUGUUUGCGAUACAAUGUAAGCGGCUGAGCGAAAGCGUUAAGUAAUCCACCUGGGGAGUACGUUCGCAAGAAUGAAACUCAAAGGAAUUGACGGGG